GCGGAGGUUGCCAAGCCAGGCCAAAGGCGUAGGGUUCAGAUCCCUAUCUCGUAGGAGUAAAAUGCGUGCUUGCCACGUAUUUGCCUAAUCGCGUGUUCAAAUCACGCCCUCCGCACCA
rnacentral:tRNA from 1 species